rnacentral:rRNA from 1 species
CAAUAGCGUAUAUUAAAGUUGUUGCAGUUAAAAAGCUCGUAGUUGAAUUUUUGCUUGCCGCCGAUGUCGGAACUUCCGUACGUUCGGCGGCGUGCAUCCUUGGGUGGAACCUGUGUGGCAUUAGGUUGUCGUGCAGGGGAUGCUCAUCGUUUACUGUGAAAAAAUUAGAGUGUUCAAAGCAGGCUUACGCCGUUGAAUAUAUUAGCAUGGAAUAAUAAGAUAGGACCUUGGUACUAUUUUGUUGGUUUGCGCACCGAGGUAAUGAUUAACAGGGACAGUUGGGGGUAUUCGUAUUCCAUUGUCAGAGGUGAAAUUCUUGGAUUUCUGGAAGACGAACUACUGCGAAAGCAUUUGCCAAGGAUGUUUUCAUUGA